rnacentral:lncRNA from 1 species
GACACAUCAGCUGUCACAAAAUAUGAGGGUUACCCAGUGGAAAUCUUCAGUGAAUCUGAGGAGGAUCAUUGGUUUGGACUGGCGUUGGGUUCGCCAGGACACACCAGCCCUGCUGACAGACAGACAACACGCGGACAGACAACACGCUACACGUUAACAGGACACGGCGCACACAAGCCACAGGCGAGAAACCUGAGACAGCGUGACACACUGAUCCUUGGUCAGUGACCUUAAGACAGAGACUGACCUGCGGAGACACAGACAGGCUCUGAAAACUGACCUCAGACCAGCCCAAGGUGACAGGAAUGAUAUCACACAGCAAAGACAAAAUUCUAUUAUGUCAGAGAGAGGAAGAGGUAGAGAAAAAGGAAGAGGA